rnacentral:lncRNA from 1 species
UCACUUUUCUUCCUCCUGGCAUUUUUCCCCUUCCUCCCCCAGGUUCACAUGGGAAUCAAUUACCUUCCCAUGUGAUGUUAAGAUGUCCCUGGGGAGGAGAGGUGGAACGUCACUCCUAUGACAGGUGGAACGUGACAAACACUGGAGCAGAGAAAAAGAGCAACAGGUUCCUGUGGCUCCUCUCCUCGGACCCCCGCGAGCAAACCGCCAGCUCUCCAUUGCAUUCUGGAUUUCUGCUCACUUGGCUUUUGCUCAGUGUCUCAGGUGCAGCUAGGUUCUAGGGCCCCUUGGAGAAACCGUGAAGAGUUCCAGUCUUGUACCAUGACUCCAAGAAACAAAAUGAGAUCGAGUUCAGCACUGGGAAGGUUAGAGACCUCUGAGGACUGGAGCAUCCUGAAUGCAGCUGCAGUUGUUGCUGAGUCAGUGGUUCCUCGGGCUCCAUCCUGUCUGGCUGGGCUGAGGUCACAGAAGGCAGAAACUCAGAGACCAGCCCCUCCAGACUGGCUGCUGAAGGAGUACCUGAAAGGGCAAAGGAUGAGAAGCCAUUCUGUAGACAUGGAAGACGUAGCCCAGGGGAAAACUCCACCACCUCACGCGGACCUGACCAGGAGCCUGAGGAGAGGAAAGAUUGAACAUCAAGUGACCCUGGAAGAUCUGAAAAAACUAAACAUAGCCUUUCAGGAAUUUGAAAAAAGAGGCCGAAAGUUCUUGGACACGGACACGUUCAUAUGGAUAAUGAAGAAGUGUGUGAAGUCACCUAACAAAAGUAAUGAGCAAAUAGAACAACUUUUCAUGAAAAUAGAUUAUGCGGCAACUGGUGGAAUUCGG